GACGAACGCUGGCGGCGUGCUUAACACAUGCAAGUCGAGCGGUGAACCUCCUUCGGGAGGGGAUCAGCGGCGAACGGGUGAGUAACACGUGGGCAACCUGCCCUCAGCUCUGGGAUAACUCCGGGAAACCGGGGCUAAUACCGGAUAUGACUUCAGAAGACAUCUUCUGUAGUGGAAAGAUUUAUCGGCUGAGGAUGGGCCCGCGGCCUAUCAGCUUGUUGGUGGGGUAGUGGCCCACCAAGGCGACGACGGGUAGCCGGCCUGAGAGGGCGACCGGCCACACUGGGACUGAGACACGGCCCAGACUCCUACGGGAGGCAGCAGUGGGGAAUAUUGCGCAAUGGGCGAAAGCCUGACGCAGCGACGCCGCGUGAGGGAUGACGGCCU
rnacentral:rRNA from 1 species